ACUCCUACGGGAGGCAGCAGUGGGGAAUAUUGCACAAUGGGGAAACCCUGAUGCAGCCAUGCCGCGUGUGUGAAGAAGGCCUCGGUUGUAAGCACUUCUAGUAGGAGGAAGGUAGUGUAGUUAACACCUGCACUAUUUGUACGUUACCUACAGAAGAAGCACCGGCUAACUCCGUGCCAGCAGCCGCGGUAAUACGGAGGGUGCGAGCGUUAAUCGGAAUUACUGGCGUAAAGCGCAUGCAGGCGGCCUGUUAAGUCAGAUGUGAAAGCCCGGGGGCUUAACCUCGGAAUUGCAUUUGAAACUGGCAGGCUAGAGUCUUGUAGAGGGGGUAGGAAUUUCAGGUGUAGCGGUGAAAUGCGUAGAGAUCUGAAGGAAUACCAGU
rnacentral:rRNA from 1 species